rnacentral:rRNA from 1 species
AGCAGCCGCGGUAAUUCCAGCUCCAAUAGCGUAUAUUAAAGUUGUUGCAGUUAAAAAGCUCGUAGUUGAAUUUCGGGGCCAGUAGGUUGGUCGUGCCACUGGUAUGCACUGGCCUUACUGGUCCCUCCCUCUUGUAGAACCGUGAUGCCAUUAAUUUGGUGUUGCGGGGAAACAGGACUGUUACUUUGAAAAAUUAGAGUGCUUAAAGCAGGCUCGCGCUUGAAUACAUUAGCAUGGAAUAACGGAAUAGGACGAUCGAACCUAUUUUGUUGGUUUCUAGGAUCGACGUAAUGAUUAAUAGGGAUAGUUGGGGGCAUUAGUAUUCAAUUGUCAGAGGUGAAAUUCUUGGAUUUAUUGAAGACUAACUACUGCGAAAGCAUUUGCCAAGGAUGUUUUCAUUAAUCAAGAACGAAAGUUAGGGGAUCGAGGACGAUCAGAUACCGUCGUAGUCUUAACCAUAAACUAUGCCGACUAGGGAUUGGAUGAAGUUAAUUUUUAAUGACUCAUUCGGCGCCUUACG